rnacentral:rRNA from 1 species
UACGUAGGGUGCGAGCGUUUAAUCGGAAUUACUGGGCGUAAAGCGUGCGUAGGCGGUUCGCUGUGUCCGAUGUGAAAGCCCCGGGCUUAACCUGGGAAUGGCAUUGGAAACUGGCGGGCUUGAGUGCGGCAGAGGGGGGUGGAAUUCCCUGUGUAGCGGUGAAAUGCGUAGAGAUGGGGGAGAACACUCGUGGCGAAGGCGGCCAGCUAGACCAGUUCUGACACUGAGGCGCGACAGCGUGGGGAGCAAACAGG